GAUGAACGCUGGCGGCGUGCCUAAUACAUGCAAGUCGAGCGAACAGACGAGGAGCUUGCUCCUCUGACGUUAGCGGCGGACGGGUGAGUAACACGUGGAUAACCUACCUAUAAGACUGGGAUAACUUCGGGAAACCGGAGCUAAUACCGGAUAAUAUAUUGAACCGCAUGGUUCAAUAGUGAAAGACGGUUUUGCUGUCACUUAUAGCUGGAUCCGCGCCGCAUUAGCUAGUUGGUAAGGUAACGGCUUACCAAGGCAACGAUGCGUAGCCGACCUGAGAGGGGGAUCGGCCACACUGGAACUGAGACACGGUCCAGACUCCUACGGGAGGCAGCAGUAGGGAAUCUUCCGCAAUGGGCGAAAGCUUGACGGAGCAACGCCGCGUGAGUGAUGAAGGUCUUCGGAGCGUAAAGCUCUGUUAUUAGGGAAGAACCAAUGUGGAAGUAACUAUGCACGUCUUGACGGUACCUAAUCAGAAAGCCACGGCUAACUACGUG
rnacentral:rRNA from 1 species